rnacentral:lncRNA from 1 species
UGCUCACAAUGGACUAGAGUCAUCAAAGAUCGUCUUCCAGUCCAAAACUAAUGAAAAACACACCUUUAGUACUGCCGGAAAACUGAAAUUCUCUACACCUGUGUGCGCUUCAGCCUUCUUGUGGAAAUACAAGUACUCUCCUAAGCCACCACACCCAUGGAAAAAGUACCUGACUGAUCACCCUUGGAAAAAGAAGUACCUUCCACCCCUGUCUCCUCACCCAUGGAAGAAGUACUUUACACCAAAGCCGGUUUAUACAUAUCCACCAAAGCCGGUUUAUUCAUAUCCACCAAAGCCGGUUUAUACACCUAAACCGGUUUAUACACAUCCACCAAAACCGGUUUAUACACCAAAGCCCCCAAGUCCUGUUUAUACACAUCCACCAAAGCCGGUUUAUACACCUAAGCCGGUUUAUUCCCAUCCCCCCACUCCCGUCUAUACUUAUCCACCAAAGCCGGUUUAUAAGCAUCCAAUUUAUAAGAAGCCCUGCCCACCCAUUGUACCUUUGCCUAAACCUAUUUACAAGAAGCCUUGCCCACCCAUUGUUCUUCCCCCCAAGUUCUUCCACCACCCUAAAAUGAAGUACUUCCCUCCCAUGCCACCUCACUUCUCCCACCAUCCUUGAAGCUUCCGUCUUG